UAUUUCAAAAAUUCUUAAUUUUGUAAACAGUUAAUUUAUAAAUAUAACCAUAUCAAUGAUAAUUCAUGUCAGCACAAAAAGUGCUGACUACUGGGCUGGUGAUACCCUCGGGGAAAUAAAUCUCCACCAGCAGUGGCAUCGACCCAGUGGUUGUAAAUAAACUCAUCAUAGAUACCAGGACUAAAUUUUGUAUAUACGCCAGACGCGCGUUUCGUCUAGAAAAGACUCAUCAGUGACACUCGAAUCCAAA
rnacentral:lncRNA from 1 species